AGUUCACAUAUUCAGCAUUUUAUGAUAUAAAUGCUGAAUAUUAGAGUAGCAUAGAUACUUCAUGUUCUAAUUUGAUAGGCAAUUGAGAUUAAAUUGUCCUAUGAUUUUGUAAGGCAACCUUUUGGUGAUUAAUAAAAAUUUUAAUUACCAAAAAAAAAAAAACUAUACCAUAUUACAAUAAUAUCUCUUACAAACUCCUAGUAGUAAAACACAUAAAUUAAGUAAAUUUUAUCUAACGCUAAAUCUAAUAAAAAUACAUGAGUAUUGAUUAUAAAAAAAUAAAGUAUGUUGCUUCUCCAGUAUGUUGCUUCUCCAAAUGCAAGUGUGUAUCUAUUAAUUUUCAUCUUUAUGUACCUGAGAAUAUGGAAAAAAAAGUUAAAAUUUUAGUACACACUUAAUGAUCACAUGAUUUAGAAAGUAUAUAUUUUAAAUGUUAAUUAUAAAUCAAAUCAAAUAUAAAUUAAAAAGAAUAAGAAUAAUAGAACAAGAAAUAAGUACUGAUAAAGAUACUUACUCCAGUUCUUCUUUGCUUGUAACCACAUUCAGACUAAGAGAUAAAAUUUUGAACAGUUAACCUCUCAAAAUUAGAGAACAAUGGACAAAAUAUCUUCAUACCCUUACAAUAAAAUUAAAAUAAAUAAAAACACACCAAUACAUACAUGCCAUAUGCCAUUUGGAGAUGCCAAAUUUAUAAUGCCCUAAAUGCAUAUCAAAAGAAAGUAUAGUAAAUUAUAUACCUUCUCUUGAAAUGUCCAUCAUCCCAAAUUGGAUCUUCUAUGCUAUUCAAGAAAAAGUUUUGGAGAAUAGACACAUACAUAAAAAAUCGAAAAAAGAGAGAGAAGUUAUAUAUUGAUAAUAAAAAUGAUAACAGAUUUUAUUUGGGUAAGAGUUUGAUUGGGGGUUGAAGAUCUCAUAAAGAGAUAUGAGGAGAAAAAUUAGGAAGAAGUAAGAAUAGUAGUUAAUUAAAAGAGGGAUUUAGAGAAAAGGGAGGGAAAUUUGCCGCCACUUUUUUC
rnacentral:lncRNA from 1 species